UUAUCCCAAUGAUGGCCAGCACUGGGUCUGAUCACCCGAGGACACAAUGCUCCAGAACCUUUAACACCUGGGGGUCUAAGAGGGACCC
ensembl:snoRNA